GAUGAAGAACGCAGCGAAAUGCGAUAAGUAAUGUGAAUUGCAGAAUUCAGUGAAUCAUCGAGUGUUUGAACGCACAUUGCGCCCCCUGGUAUUCCGGGGGGCAUGCCUGUCCGAGCGUCAUUGCCGCCCUCAAGCGCGGCUUGUGUGUUGGGCCCCCGCCCCCCGGCUUCGGGGGGCGGGCCCGAAAGGCAGCGGCGGCACCGCGUCCGGUCCUCGAGCGUAUGGGGCUUCGUCACCCGCUCUGUAGGCCCGGCCGGCGCCCGCCGGCGACCCCAAUCAAUCUUUCCAGGUUGACCUCGGAUCAGGUAGGGAUACCCGCUGAACUUAAGCAUAUCAAUAAGCGGAGGA
rnacentral:misc_RNA from 1 species